AACACAUGCAAGUCGAACGGCAGCACGAGAAGCUUGCUUCUUGGUGGCGAGUGGCGGACGGGUGAGUAAUACAUAGGAAUCUACCUCGAAGCGGGGGAUAACCCGGGGAAACUCGGGCUAAUACCGCAUAAUCUCUACGGAGGAAAGCAGGGGAUCUUCGGACCUUGCACUUUGAGAUGAGCCUAUGUCAGAUUAGCUAGUUGGUAGGGUAAAGGCCUACCAAGGCAAUGAUCUGUAGCUGGUCUGAGAGGACGAUCAGCCACACUGGGACUGAGACACGGCCCAGACUCCUACGGGAGGCAGCAGUGGGGAAUAUUGGACAAUGGGCGCAAGCCUGAUCCAGCAAUACCGCGUGUGUGAAGAAGGCCUUCGGGUUGUAAAGCACUUUCAGUAGGGAGGAAAGGCUCAGAGCUAAUAUCUCUGAGAGUUGACGUUACCUACAGAAGAAGC
rnacentral:rRNA from 1 species